ACGACUUUACUUGAACAUGAUCUGUUAUAUAGGAUCGUACUACUGUAUCUUUGAUUUCUAAGGAGACCAGAACAUAAAACUUCUAUUAACAUGUAUAAAUUAGGGUUA
rnacentral:snoRNA from 1 species